rnacentral:rRNA from 1 species
UUUUUUAGAGAGUUUGAUCCUGGCUCAGGAUGAACGCUGGCGGCAUGCCUAACACAUGCAAGUCGAACGGAGCACCCCUGACGGAGUUUUCGGACAACGGAAGGGAAUGCUUAGUGGCGGACGGGUGAGUAACGCGUGAGGAACCUGCCUUUCAGUGGGGGAUAACACAUCGAAAGAUGUGCUAAUACCGCAUAACAUAGCGAUGGGACAUCCCAUUGUUAUCAAAGAUUUAUUGCUGAAAGAUGGCCUCGCGUCCAAUUAGCUAGUUGGUGAGGUAACGGCCCACCAAGGCGACGAUUGGUAGCCGGACUGAGAGGUUGAACGGCCA